rnacentral:rRNA from 1 species
GACGAACGCUGGCGGCGUGCUUAACACAUGCAAGUCGAACGGAAAGGCCCUGCUUUUGUGGGGUGCUCGAGUGGCGAACGGGUGAGUAACACGUGAGUAACCUGCCCUUGACUUUGGGAUCACUUCAAGAAACUGGGGCUAAUACCGGAUAGUAGCUCCUGCUGCAUGGGGGGGGUUGGAAAGUUUCGGCGGUGGGGGAUGGACUCGCGGCUUAUCAGCUUGUGGGUGGGGUAGUGGCUUACCAAGGCUUGGACGGGUAGCCGGCCGGAGAGGGUGACCGGCCAAAUGGGGACGGAGAAACGGCCCAGACCCCAACGGGAGGAAGAAGGGGGGAUAUUUGAACAAUGGGCGGAAGCCGGAGGCAGCAACGCCGCUGGGGGGAUGACGGCCUUCGGUUGGUAAACCGCUUUCGCCGGUGACGAAGCGUGAGUGACGGUAAUGGGUAAAGAAGCACCGGCUAACUACGUG